rnacentral:lncRNA from 1 species
AGUGACGCGCCGGCCAUGCCGGCGGCUGUUGUCGGGCCUCCAGCGGGCGGGGCCGUUGGCGGAGCAGAGGGGAGGCGCAGCCGGGCGGAGGGCCCACGAGGGCUCAGCCUUCCCGGUCAGCGGUGGUGACGGUAUCCCAGAGUGCCAGAGAACCGUUGCUUUUCCGAGUUGCUCUUCUUCCAGGCUCCGUUGGUGGUCGGCAUGGCCCAGCAUGACUGUUUGACUUUGUAGGUGGAAAUCAACGAGAACUUGCCCGCCAGAAAAACAUGAAGAAAACCCAGGAAAUUAGCAAGGGAAAGAGGAAAGAGGAUAGCUUGACUGCCUCUCA